rnacentral:lncRNA from 1 species
CAGCUUCUCUGAGCUGAAGAGGCAGAUGAGGCAGUGCAGGGUGGAGCUGCAGAGGGGAGAGGAGAUCCAGAGGCGUACCGUGGAGAGACGGAGGGAGUGUCUGGCACUACACUUCACUGACUGGAGGCGCCAAGCCGACCACACAUUCUCUCUGCACCUGGUGCGGAAUGCUCUACUCAGCUUCAAGGAGGUCCUUCAUUCCAGAAGUUUAUAUGAUCAGUUGGCCUGGGACCUGAACACCGAUGAUGCUGGCACACCUGACUCACUACAGCAAGACCAAUUUGUCCAUUAUGUGUGUCAGUAUGUCUAGGGGCUCUCUGAGGAGCAGUUCCAGCUGUUUCUGGAACAUCUCUCCCUGUGUAGCCGGGAACACGGCUGUGCUGAGAAUUUGAGGCACUGGACAGAGACACUCUCUCAGGCCUCUUCCCACUGUGACUGUGCUAAGACUGGGUGUCUGGACCUAUAGAGUGUUGUUCCUUCUGCUGAGUUUCUAUCAUGAUCAGAAUGAGAGCACACAGGAGUCCAUGCAUGAUCUUAACAACUCAUGGUGAGCCACCUCUCUCCAGCUGCUCUGUCAUCUCUCUGGGACAAUUCCAGGCCUUACUGAGGGCUUUCCUGGUGGAGCUGCGAGGGGGCAAGGACAGGGUAGAGGGGCAACCAGGCAGGCCUGGCUGCAGGGGAUUGGGAGAGCAGCCCAAAGAGGUUCAGCCCAGAUGGAGCCUGUUUAUGGGGACGUGUUUAGCGCCGUGCUCAGAGCAGGAUGGUGUGGCAGGAUGGUGUGGCAGGAUGCAGAGGUGAAUGUGGAGGGGAAGCUGUUGAGUGUCUCUGUAGCCCUGCUGGAGGAAGAGGGCUCUAGGCAGCGUUAUGUGGCCUAUACUACUACUGAGGAUGCCCGGCUGGUUCUCAACAAGAUGCCCCAGCCACACCAGGCCCCUGUCAGGGCGGUGACUACUCUCUGAGGAAGAUGAUGGUGAUGGAGGGUGGUUCUAGUCGCUCCCAUUGGCUCUCCCCUCCUCCUACCUUAUGCCGCUCAGAUCACUUCUCCAGUGCUGUGACACCUCCCAGAUUGGGCACUAUGUGUUGUUUGGGGCGUACUGGUGCUCCCUGUGAGGGACACAGCUGGAUGGGCCCUGGGAGUGGUGGACAUGGAGUUAGAAACCCUCUCACCGGGCCACCAGGGGGGGCUGCAGCCUCACGAGCGCAGGGACCUGUCUGCUGCAGGGGCUGCCUGUGUUCAGCUGUACAGAGCGAGCCUGAGCGGAGCAGGCAACACACUGCUGGGUGAGAGGCAUGGUGGUAGGGGAAAGGUAAGAGGCCAAACUAAAAAACAGUAGGACCAUACUGAUCAUUACUGGUCAUACAACAUACAUACAGUGCGUAUUACAUACACUCCUGCAGUUUUUUAUGGAACCAGUAGUCGUACACAAAAGUUUCAUUACCAAGACUUGCCAAAAAAUUGGCUAAUUAAUUAAUUGCUAAUCUAAGACAAUAUUUAUCUUCUACAGAGGCGGAGGCCCUGGGAGGGGAGCGGCGGGCGUCCAUCUUGUUCCUAUGUUUCACACUGGAGCACCUGCGCCAUCGCUGUCUGUCCUGACUGGACCAACCAAUUAUAGUGGAGCUCCUUAGCUCCCAGGAUACACCUCACCACCUCCCUGUCAGUCAAGGUGUGAAGGUGGUGCUUCUAGUGCUGUACCCUGAGAGGAAGGGCUCUGUCCAUGUAGACGAUUGGGGCCAAAUUAAGAAGAUGGUGAGCUCUGACCUGGGCUACAGGCUGGCCAGGUUUGACCCCUUAGCCAAGGCAGUGAGAGUGGACAGGGAGCUGGUCCACAGCUGCAUAGCAGGGCCAUGCCUCAGGACUACCUGGCAUGAUGACUCCUUGCUGUCCCCAGUCCACCUGGCCGUGCUGCUGCUCCAGUUUCAACUUUUCCGCCUGCGGCUAUAGAACCCUGACCUGUUCACCAGACAUGCUACCUGUCCCAGACCUGCUGUUUUCAACUCUCUAGAGAGUGGUAGAGAUACUCUCAAUGAUCGGCUAUGAAAAGCCAACUGACAUUUACUCUUGAGGUGCUGACUUGUUGCACCCUCGACAACUACUGUGAAUAUUAUUAUUUGACCAUGCUAGUCAUUUAUGAACAUUUGAACAUCUUAGCCAUGUUCUGUUAUAAUCUCCACUCGGCACAGCCAGAAGAGAACUGGCCACCCCUCAUAGCCUGGUUCCUCUCUAGGUUUCUUCCUCGGUUUUGGCCUUUCUAGGGAGUUUUUCCUAGCCACUGUGCUUCUACACCUGCAUUACUUGCUGUUUGGGGUUUUAGGCAGGGUUUCUGUACAGCACUUUGAGAUAUCAGCUGAUGUAAGAAGGGCUAUAUAAAUUGAUUUGAUUUGAUUUGAUGUUUGAAUCCCCGAGCUGACUAGGUGUAAAAUCUGUUCAUGUGCCCUUGAGCAAGGCACUUAACCAUAAUUGCUCCUUUAAGUCGCUCUGGAUAAGAGCAUCUGCUAAAUGACUCAAAUGUAAAUGUACUCAAUGGAGAGCAGUUUAAUGGAGUAAUACAUCUAAUCAAUUAUCAUUUUAGCUGCAGCGUAGGUUGUGUCUGAGUGGGUGGAGACCUGUGGAUGGGCAUAGAGUCAGUGUGGAUAGUCUGUGGGAGAGGAGCAGUAGUUGGCCAUUUAACAGUCUUAUGGCCAGGGGAUAGAAGCUGUUUAGGAGUCUGUUUGUCUGAGCCUUGAUGCACCAUUACCGCCUCCCGGACGGGAGCACGGAGAACAGUCCAUGUCCUAGGUGGCCUUUCUCAGACACUGCCUGGCAUGUACAUCCUGGAUGGCUGGGAGCUCGCCUCGGUGAUGUGCUGGGCCAUCUGCAACACGCUCUGUAGGGCCUUCCAGUUGCGGGCGGUGCAGUUGUCAUACCAGAUGGGGUGAUUACAACCAGUCAGGAUGCUCUCAAUGGUGCACCUGUAAAAUUUCCUGAGGAUCUGAGAGGCCAUGCCAAAUAGUUUCAGCCUCCUGAGGGAGAAGAGGCGUUGCCAUGCCUUCAUGAUUGUUCUGGUGGCACUAAAGAGAAUGACCAUGCUAGUAAGGGUAAAAAAGCCUAUAGCAUUCUCAACAUAUACUGUACAUGUAGAUGAUCAACUUACUCUAUCCCUCUCUCUUCCUUUCUUUGCCUGAGAAACUUAAGAGCUGAGACCUCCGGCAAACAAGCAGCAUUGUAUUGGCACAGUUACUUUGCUACAGUGCCAGUAUUUGAACAAGCUCCCUUGUGAUGUUCUCCCA